rnacentral:tRNA from 1 species
GGUUCCAUGGUGUUAUGGUCAGCACUCUGAAUCCAGAGAUCUGAGUUCAAAUCUCAAUGGGACCU